CCCGUGGAAGCGGCUCUUCUCGCGCCCAUAUAAACCUGCCGCAGCGGUUGACGGCCAUCAAUAGCUACCUUCACCGCUCAGCUCUCGGAUCAACCGAAAUCGCUAGGCUAAGGAAGCUUGCUCCCUGCUGCCAUAACGCAGAGCUAUCUGUUUCCAGCUGCAAACUUUUGUAUAGAGUGCUAUAAAUCUUCAAGGGAAGGAUGUCGCCUCGCAUCGUGGACUCAAGUCAGAAAAGGAAAUCCGGUAAGAUGACGCCACGAACCUCAGUGAAAGGACGCAGCCCUAGGAGUCGACCCCGAAUAUGUUCCUGUAGAAGAGGCCUGUUCUCGGUACCCUUGCAUGACAAGUCGUCAAUGGAGGUGUGUACUAAACUGUUCCUAGCUGUGGACCUAGGUGACGUACAGAGGGUCAAAGAUCUUAUACAGCACAUCGGACCUUCAGUGAGGAAACCUGACACCGGUUUCACACUGCUACAUGCAGCAGCUUUAAGA